UUGAGGACACCUGCAGUCGUCAUGCUCGAAAGUGAGGUCCAGCCAAGGUCCCAGAGGAAAACAGUCUCACCAGCAGCAGACCUUUGCUUUUGGGGGGUGCUAGGGAAACUAGACUGGCUGCAGGGACGUUCAGUGACUUGCCCAAGGCCACACAGCAGGAAGCUGGCCGCUGGAGCAGAGUCCUCUCACUUCCAGGCUGGCACACUCUGCUGUGGCCAUGGCCCUCGUCAUCCUGUCUAAUCCCCAUGCUUUCCUCUCUCUAGCACCCAGCAGGCAGCUGCAACCCAGCUGUACCCCACAGUGUCUUCCCAAAGGCAGGCCGGCGGCACCUUGAAACAGCAGAGUGUGGCAGUUCCCUCUGGCCCCGGAGAUGGUCCUCAGCACGUGGGCGGCACUGAGAGCAAAGGAGUGAGGGGGAAGGGCAUGUCCAGAAUGGACAACAGGAGAAGCAUGACAACAGAGGAAAAGUACAGGACAUCCUCCAGUGGCAGGGAGCAAGCCCCUUAAUGUGGAGCCAUGGAGACAAGUGCCUUCAGAGGCCCCCGCAGCUUGCCAGGUGCCGGGGGAGACGAAUGGACCUUGCCCUCGAGAAGCCUGCUGAGGCUCCAGGCCAUCAGAGCGCGCACCGUAGCCAUGGCUGGGAGGUGCAGCGAAGGCGUCUGAAACCAGGCCGCCCACAGGAUGUUGGAAGCCGCAGGGGCCUGGAGGCUGUCCCUUGAGGCCAUCUGAGCACCAACCCUCACAUCCAGCACAGGGACAGGCCAGAGUCUGGCUGAAGGCUAGAAGCACCAGCUGAUUUCUGAUCUCUCUCCAUGGCGCCCAGCACACAGGACAGAGCGGGCUUUAC